UACGUAGGUGGCAGGCGUUAUCCGGAAUUAUUGGGCGUAAAGCGCGCGCAGGCGGGUUCUUAAGUCUGAUGUGAAAGCCCCCGGCUCAACCGGGGAGGGUCAUUGGAAACUGGGAAACUUGAGUGCAGAAGAGGAAAGCGGAAUUCCACGUGUAGCGGUGAAAUGCGUAGAUAUGUGGAGGAACACCAGUGGCGAAGGCGUCUUUCUGGUCUGUAACUGACGCUGAGGCGCGAAAGCGUGGGGAGUAAACAGG
rnacentral:rRNA from 1 species